UCGGYGUUCUGCCUUAUGUUAGUGUCGUGUUCUUGGUUUGGUUUUCUUAAUGUUUUACCUGCUUCCGACUCACGGCCCCAUCACAACGACCUGAGGGUGGAAGGCAAUGUUUGUUCACCCAGGGACUGGCCAUUGUCAAUCUAGUGUUGGCAAACACCAUCUGCCUACAUUAGUUUUCCCAAUUGAUUACACACUAAAAUUGGAGCUUGAAACGCAGUCACCGAAACCUGAAACUCAUUUACCAAAUCCCUAAACCACGUCUUCAAAAUUGCAAACACAAUUCCUGCUUUACACUCAGUUUUCAAUUCUAUAUCUCACUUUUUGCAAAACACUACACAGUUCUCUACAUUAGGCACAACAUUCAAAAUUAAGCUCUCUUUAGUCCCUUUGGAAAGCUCUAUACACCAAUUUGCAACUCUCUCAUCACAGGUGUAAACACUAGUUGCUGAAUUGUUCACUUUGAAAUCAGAGCUUUAGCACUAUAAAAGGCCACAGAUGAGCUCUCCUGUUCUGGAAGUCAAUGGUGAAGGAGUGAGAGUAGGAAGGACUGUCUCAGAUGAGAUCAGGGCCACAUUGGUUGACCAUGUGCUCAACCAUGGAUUGAGUAUAAGAGAGGCUGGGCAGAGAGUUCAGCACAACCUGAGCCGCUACACAGUUGCAUCUAUCAUCGUACAUUCAGAAAUGACAACCGAACUGAGAGACGGCCAGGCCAUGGUGGGAGACACCGGCUGUUCACACCAGAACAGGAGAUCGCUAUUGUGAACAUGGUGGUGGCAAACAACACCAUUAGACUACGAGAAAUCCAGAACCACAUAAUUGCAGACAACACAAUAUUCAGUAACAUUCACCAGGUGGGCUUGUCUACAUUGGACCGUGUAUUACAGCACAACCAAAUCCGGAUGAAACAGGUUUACGGGGUGCCAUUAAAGUGAAACUCAGAGGGUUAAAGAACAGAGCUAUGAAUAUGUGCAAAGAGUCUUGGAGCUGGAUGCCGCUGCAAUUCAGUACAUUUAUAUUUACAUUGAGGCUGGCUUCAACCCAGCCAGAAGAAGGGGACGGGGACAGAAGAUUAUUGGCCACCGUGCCAUUGUGAAUGUCCCGGGACAGCGUGGAGGGAAUAUCACCAUGUGUGCAGCCGUUAGCCAGCGAGGCGUCCUCCAUCACCAUGCCAACCUUGGUCCCUACAACACCGUCCUUCUCAUCACAUUCCUGGACACACUACAUGGCUUCCUCAUUCCAGCCGAGCAGAGGGGUGGACCAGAGCAGCCCAGGUAUGUUGUCAUCUGGGACAACGUGAGUUUCCACCGGGCUGCUCUGGUACACAACUGGUUCAUCGACCACCCACAAUUUAUUGUUCUAUACCUCCCACCAUAUUCCCCAUUACUAAACCCUAUCGAAUGUUUUUUUUCGGCAUGGGGAUGGAAGGUGUAUGAUCGCCAUCCCCUCCAUGCCUCUUCUCCAGGCAAUGGAGGAUGCAUGUGGUGAAGUUGAUGUGGGGGCUUUCGGAUCCGUCACUCCAGAAGAUUCUUUCCCCGCUGUUUAGCCAGGGAGAACAUCGCUUGUGAUGUAGAUGACGUGCUGUGGCCAGACCAAAAUAGGAGGCAGGAUGCAGCCUAAUGUCUUUUUCCUUACAUUUUGCAUGUGUUUUUGUCUUUGUUUAGAGUUUUGAAAGAAUGAGYCACUUUCAUUUUUUGUACAGAAAACCYUUUAUCUCACUGAAUGUUUUUCCUGGUUUUCUCCUGUUGGGUACGGAAAGUGUUACAUACAAAACACAAGUGUUCAAAAUACUGCAUUUUUGGAAAUAAAUGCAAUGUUACUGUAUUGCAUUUGUGUGUGUUUAUGUAUAUUUGAGUAGGAAUACAUUACUGUAACAAUCUUUUACAACUGGCUACAGUGUAACACUGAAAAUGCAAAAGGCAAAAACCUAAUGAUGGGAUAUUCAUACUAGUGUUUUGUGUUGAGCACAUCAGUGUGUUGGUAGACAGAUCUAUUCAUAUGACGUGUGUCAUUUUGAUGCAAAAAAACAUUUUGGAAAGAAAACAGUAUUGAAUGCAGUGUUUGCUUUUGCUAGAGAUUUGUAGAGUUUAGCAUUUUGUGUACAGAGUUUGGGGACAAUGGGCCAAAGAUUCAGCAAACGUGUGUAAACAAUUGUGGAAAACUGUAACUAUGAGAGCAAAUCAUCGCAGAUCACACAACAUUCCAUAAUAUCAACCGUGUCAUUAUGUCAACACUGCCACAUCUUGCAUCAACACCAA